CUUCAUUGGAAGCAUACCACACGAGAUAGACCUUUUAUCAAGCUUGACAUAUCUGGUGCUAUAUGGGAAUUACUUGUCUGGCUCAGUUCCUUCUUCAAUCUACAACAAAUCUUCAUUAUACUAUUUCACUUUUACUCAAAACCAUCUUCAUGGGAACUUACCAGAUGAUGUUGGAAUUACUCUUCCUACAUUCAAGUAUUUGUUGGUGCGGCCAACAAUCUCACAGGAUUUGUCCCUGCAUCAUUGUUAAAUGCUUCAAAACUAGAGAUUCUUGAUUUCUCCUUGAAUGGUCUCACUGGAGCACUGCCAACGAACUUAGGGGUCUUGAACAGGUUAACUAGACUUAGCUUUGAACACAGCAGACUGGGAACUGGGAAAACAGAUGAUGUUAGCUCACUGUUCUACAAGUUUUACGUCUAGGAGUAAAUAAUUUUGGUGGAGUAUUGCCUAAGGCAAUUGCUAAUUUCUCAAGCCAAAUGAACACAUUUGCCCUUAAUUCCAAUGGAAUACAUGGAAACAUACCUGUUGGAAUUGGCAAUCUUGAUAACCUGGCCCUCAUAGCUUUGGAAGGAAACCGUCUAACUGGUAGUCUUCCUGAUGCAUUGGGUAGGCUGAAAAAUCUG
rnacentral:lncRNA from 1 species